rnacentral:rRNA from 1 species
UGCAACUCGACUGCACGAAGCUGGAAUCGCUAGUAAUCGCGGAUCAGCACGCCGCGGUGAAUACGUUCCGGGCCUUGUACACACCGCCCGUCACACCAUGGAAGUCUGCAAUGCCCGAAGCCGGUGGCCUAACCACUUAUGUGGAAGGAGCCGUCUAAGGCAGGGCAGAUGACUGGGGUGAAGUCGUAACAAGGUACC